rnacentral:misc_RNA from 1 species
GAUGAAGAACGUAGCGAAAUGCGAUAAGUAGUGUGAAUUGCAGAAUUCAGUGAAUCAUCGAAUCUUUGAACGCACAUUGCGCCCCCUGGUAUUCCGGGGGGCAUGCCUGUUCGAGCGUCAUUACAACCCUCAAGCUCUGCUUGGUAUUGGGCCCCGCCAGUUCUGGCGGGCCCUAAAGUCAGUGGCGGUGCCUUCCGGCUCCGAGCGUAGUAAUUCUUCUCGCUCUGGAGACCCGGUUGUGUGCUUGCCAACAACCCCCAAUUUUUUAAGGUUGACCUCGGAUCAGGUAGGGAUACCCGCUGAACUUAAGCAUAUCAAUAAGCGGAGGGA